GACGAACGCUGGCGGCGUGCAUAAUACAUGCAAGUAGAACGAGUUGCGAACGGGUGAGUAACGCGUGGUAACCUGCCUCAUAGCGGGGGAUAACUACUGGAAACGGUAGCUAAUACCGCAUACCAUCGGAUGUGCCCAGAUGGGAUUAGCUAGUAGGUGGGGUAAUGGCUCACCUAGGCGACGAUCCCUAGCUGGUCUUAGAGGAUGACCAGCCAAACUGGAACGGAGACGCGGUCCAGACUCCUACGGGAGGCGGCAGUGGGGAAUCUUGAACAAUGGGCGCAGGCCUGAUGCAACCAUGCCGCGUGUAUGAAGAAGGCCUUCGGGUUGUAAAGUACUUUCAGCGAGGAGGCGUUACUCGCAGAAGAAGCACCGGCUAACUCCGUGCCAGCAGCCGCGGUAAUAC
rnacentral:rRNA from 1 species